UUAAAUUCAUUGAUAAAGAGGAGUAGCAUGAAUUUUAUUUAUAGAGAGUUGGGGUUGGUGGAAGCCUAAUAAUUACAUCCAUUGUGAAAAGAGUUUUUGAGAAGGCUAUCUGAAUUUUAGUACGAUAGUCGGUAAACCUGCCUUAAAGGUCAGAGUGGAUAAGGUAUCUUAUCAAUUAGAGUGGUAACGCGCAAUGUCGUCUCUUAG
rnacentral:ncRNA from 1 species